GAUGAACGCUAGCGAUAGGCUUAACACAUGCAAGUCGAGGGGCAGCAUGGUCUUAGCUUGCUAAGACUGAUGGCGACCGGCGCACGGGUGCGUAACGCGUAUGCAACUUGCCUCACAGAGGGGGAUAACCCGUCGAAAGACGGACUAAUACCGCGUACACUCCAUCUUGGGCAUCCAAGGUAGAGGAAAUGAAAUUCGCUGUGAGAUAGGCAUGCGUCCCAUUAGCUAGUUGGUGAGGUAACGGCUCACCAAGGCGACGAUGGGUAGGGGAACUGAGAGGUUGAACCCCCACACUGGUACUGAGACACGGACCAGACUCCUACGGGAGGCAGCAGUGAGGAAUAUUGGUCAAUGGGCGAGAGCCUGAACCAGCCAAGUCGCGUGAAGGAUGACUGUCUUAUGGAUUGUAAACUUCUUUUAUACGGGAAUAACAAGAGUCACGUGUGACUCCCUGCAUGUACCGUAUGAAUAAGCAGCGGCUAACUCCGUG
rnacentral:rRNA from 1 species